GCAGAACUGACGGCCGAUGGGGCAGCAAGGUUCUGGAAUGGAGGCCACGUACCGGAAAACGCAGCGUGGGACGUCCACCCACAAGGUGGACCGAUGACCUGAUAAAGGUAGCGGGAAGGCGCUGGAUGCAGUGGACGUUCUGUGGCUGGAAUGAUGAUGACGAUG